CGAGUUGGUCGAGCUAUCGCUUAAUUUUUAAGAGGAAAGUCCGGACUUCAAAGAGCAAGGUGCCAGCUAACAGCUGGGGAGCGUGAGCUUACGGAUAGUGCAGCAGAAAAUAUACCGCCAUUUUGGUAAGGGUGAAAAGGUAAGGUAAGAGCUUACCGCUCAAACGAAAGUUUGAGGCAGUGCAAACCCCACUUGAAGCAAUGCCAAGUAGAGAUUAAAUUGUGUUGCUCGCACAUAAUCAGGGUAGGCAGCAUGAAUGUUUUGGUGACAAAACAUCAAGAUAAAUGAUAGCUAAAAACAGAAUCCGGCUUAUAGACCAACUCGAUUC
rnacentral:RNase_P_RNA from 2 species